ensembl:lncRNA
GAGGGAGGGAGGAUGGGAUGCUUGGUUGGCUCUGUAUAAAGGCAUGCAUGCGUGCUGGUGUGUGUGUGCAGUUUCUCCCCAUUUCUCUGCUGCCAUAUAUGGAGUCCUGCGUGUUAAGUUCUAGCUCUUCACGCUAACGCCUCUGACUGGAAGACAGAGUGUGUGUGUGUGUGUGUGUGUGUGUGGAAUGCGCAUGUCUGUGCCAGGGUGAGUGAGUCUGCGUCUGGUUCUAUGUGUUGCAUACGUGUGUGUGUCUGGGUUUUGGAGUGGCGAAUGCGCAUGUCCUGUUGGUGUGUGUGGGUGGUUUGGGUACGCGGCUCUGCCAGCAGUGUGUGUGUGGUAUGUGCGGCGGUAGAGAAUGAGAGGAGACUGUUUGUUUGUGUCUGACUCAGUAGGAGAGACAUACAGUACUACAGUCUGGAGAGGAAGGAAGCCUAUAGACACACACACACAGCAUUGCUACCUGCGUUAGCACAAUGACAUGCUAGCUGUUCCCAUAGACUUCCAGUCAUUGAGCCAACAACUUUAAAAGCACGUCUUGCAGGAAUUUAAUUUAUUAUAAUUUAGCCUCUGUGGCAAUGUAGGAGUGGUGGGCCACCUCUGCUAAAUGAAUAUAGAUGAAACACUGGCUGGCUCAUAGGGGAGGGAGGGGACAGCAUCAAACUGUUCACUAAACAAACCAUUAAAUCCCAUUCAGAGUCCUGAUCUCAUUCAGCUUCACUGCUUCACUUUAUUCUGAUUCAAUUCGGCCUCCACUUUAUGACCCAGGUCUAAGUGCACUACUUCCUUUGGGACAGAGCCAAUGUAGGGAAUAGGGUGCGGUUUAGGAUGUAAGCUAAAUGUCUGAAAAUGGCGGCCGUGUUGUGAAUGUGAAUGACUCGUGUGUAAGAGUGAAUGUUUGUUUGGCAGGAGGAGGGGGCUGUUUGACGUGGUAACUGUCUAAACAACAGAUGGGACUGCCUGAUAGGAUGACUUGGUGUGUGUGUCGGUCCAGGUGUGUCCUUUCUUGCAUGUGUGCUGGUGUGACAGUCUGUGUGUGUGUGUGUGUGUGUGUAUACAGUACCAGUCAAAUGUUUGGACUCCUACUCAUUCCAGGGCUUUUCCUUAUUUGUAGAAUAAUAGUGAAGACAUCAGAACUAUGAAAUAACACAUGGAAUCAUGUAGUAACCAAAAAAGUGUUAAACAAAUCAAAUAUAUAUUUGAGAUUCUUCAAAUAGCCACCCUUUGCCUUGAUGACAGUUAGGCACACUCUUGGCAUUCCCCUCAACCAGCUUCACCUGGAAUGCUUUUUCCAACAAUCUUGAAGGAAACUCUUGAAUGAGUAGGUGUGUCCAAACGUUUGACUGGUACUGUAUAUAUGUCUCUGCAUCGGGCAAUGCAGGUGUCCAACCAACCAGGCGUCCAUUCCCUUCAGGAGACUGCAGGCUGACAAUGCAUGUGUCUAACCAACCAACCAGGCAUCCAUUCCCUUCAGGAGACUGCAGGCUGACAAUGGGUCUGUUUAUAAAAGUGCAGUGAUGACUAAGACUAGGAUGAUGUUGAAGAUGGUGGUAUACAUUUCCCUGUCGGUGGUCUCUCUAUCUAAAUAUUAAUACAGAGAGACACAGUCCAUUUUAGAUGUUUAUACUAAUAAGAUUGUUGUUAUUCCAAGUUGACUGACUUUAUUUUUAUGUGAAAUCCCUAGACUUGAGUGGGAAGAUGGGAGGGAGGGAGUUGGGAGGGAAGGAGAGAGAGAGAGAGAGAGAGAGAGAGGGGUGUGGUGCUAUUCUAUACGUUCCUAGAUACAUGAUUGUUACCCUACCUCUUACGGAUGGAGGGAGGGAGGGUGUGGUGCUAUUCUAUACGUUCCUAGAUACAUGGUUGUUACCCUACCUCUUACGGAUGGAGGGAAGAGGAGGAGGGGGGGGUGCUUUUCUUUCUUCCUGCUUGUUUAGAGUCUGAGGACGUAGGAGGCAUUGUGGCAGGCCUCUGGUACUUAACUGCAGUCAAGACAACUGAGCGAGGCAGAAGAUCCUUGUCCCAUGGCCUUUUUGCAACAAAGAUAAAUAUUUAGUUGUUUCUUAAUGUAAGUGUUGGGGUGACGUAGCCUUUUCCUGCCUACCCAGACUCCUUGCUCCAGCCAAACGCUACGCCAUGGAUCUGACGAUUUCUAGAACGCAAACACAUUCAAACAGUUGUGAUUGGUCCCAGAAGGCGAUGGGUUGGGCCAGAACACACGUGGGCAAAGCUGCGUUUUCAAAAUGUGUCAUUGGCUUACUCUGAUUGGUUCGAGAUGCUCCAAUCGGUAAUGACUUUUGUUUUGCACAACACCCCUCAUUGUGAUGUCACCACAACCGACUUCAACGCUGACUGUCUGACUGAAGUAUGUAGUCAGUCGUCAGGCAGACAGCCUGGAAAUCCAGACUGUUUCAUUAUAGCAGAGCUGAAAUCCAUACCCUAUUACCUGUACUACUUUUGACUAGGGCCCAUAUGGCAUCCCAUAGGACUCUGGCCAAAAGUAGUGCACUAUAUUGGGAAUAGGGUGCCAUUUUGGGAUGUUACCACAGACACCCCUGGCCUCCUAGCCUGGAAAUCAAGUCUACAUUCCAAAUGGCACCCUAUUCCCUAAAAAAUAUUGCACUACUUUUGACCAGAGCCCUAUGGACCAUGGUCAAAAGUAGUGCACUAAAUAAAGAAUAGGAUGCCAUUUGGGAUACAAACAUGUUUGUCUUUUUUUUUAAUGACUUUUAUCAAGUCCAAUGCUACUGAGAGGGGACAGGAGAACGAGGAAAAGGAGGACGAGUGAGUGAUGAAUCCUGUAGAAACGCUGGCCAAACACACCAUUUCUAAAUGCGGCUGGAAGUUGUUUCGCAGGGCCAGAAAUUACAUUUCAAAAAUACUAGAGACCAUAUUGUAGAAAAGAGCUUUGUAGGAAAUGUUAUUAUUACGUUGCUGUUUUUCUGUUGAUACUUACCAAUGUUUUUAUUUCUACAGAUUUAAAUGUUUACUGUAUAGCUGCUUUUACCAACGCUAGUAUUCACACAAUAUCCUUGCUAGGAAUUAGCUUUCAAAAAACGGAAUAGUCCACCGGAAGCCAGAAGUCAAGUCAAAUUCAAUUUCAACUUUGUCCGUAAGGUUGGUCUUUAUGCAGGGGGGAGAUGGAGAAAGAACUUAGAAUGGAACGUAUGAUUAGAGGUCUGUUUGUAGACCCCAUGCAGUUCCUCCGGGACUUCAGUUCCUCUCUGUUUACCUCAUGUCAAAAUAAAAGUCCCUCACAAGUUCUUGCUUUCUUGUGCAGGUAUGGCGCACGUGCCAGACUUUUAUCUUGACGCGAGGUAAGCAGAGAGGAAGUGGGACGACAGACCCACGUUUGGACAGGGUUUAAGUUAUGUUCUACUAAAUGUUUCUUGCUUAAUUUCCCCCCUGCAUAAGGACCAACUCCACAGACAAUCGGCAGAGUAAGUUGAAAUGUCAUUUUAUUUCACUCCUGUCUUCCGGCUGACUAUUCUGUAUUUUUGCAAGCUAUUUCCUAGCAACACUAGUGUGUAAAUACUAGUGUUGCUAAGAGAAGCUAUGUACUAUGUAGUGUUUUAGGUCCUGAUUACUAAUUCAAACAUUAACACGUUUUAGAAACUUGCCAAGUGUUCUGUCAUUAAGAGGAAGUCGAACUCUGAAAGUGUAAAAUAGCUAGAGAAAGAGAUCCACAUAUUUUUGCAUUGUGCUGUAAAUGAAGGGGAGGGGGCAGUUUUGAUGCUGGACACGAGAAGGGGGGGAACACCGUACUGAAACUGCAUUGUGUACUUUUGGGAGGGAGGGAGACAGGGUUGGUUGGUUUACAGACUGACAGAUGAUGGACUGUAGAAGCACCACUAGCUGGUAUGUCCGUCUCUCCUAAGGGACUAUAUCUCUUAAAUUCCUUACUAGGAAUAACCAUUUCUAAUAUCCAUCAGACAUUGUUUUUUAUGUUCUUGUACAUUUCUUUGAAAUCCAGAAUUCCCUGGAAGUUAAAUUAGCUUCCGCCUUCACUUGACCAUGCUUGGCUCUCGUCUCAUGUGAUCCAGCUCAGUUGUUAGAGCACGGCGCUUGCAACGCCAGGAUAGUGGGUUCAAUUCCCGGGACCACCCAUACGUAAAAUGUAUGCACGCGUGACUGUAAAUCGCUUUGGAUAAAAGCAUCUGCUAAAUGGUAUAGAAUGACAACUGUCCCAGUCAGGGAAAUGUUGCCUGGAUUGUGAUCUCGGUUACCCAGAAGUAACAUUAUUGCCGAAAAUUGUCUGUCCACAAGAGAAUAGCUGGAUUGUGAUGCUCAUAAGGUGCUCGCCCACCUGGUGUCUGGUGUUGGUACUACAACUCAGAGGGGGGGGACUUCUUGCGCUGCCUGGCAUUACCAUCAUCCUACCGAUAGAGGGCAGCGUAAUGUUACAUCAGUGAGACCGUGGUUGAGCUUUGCUUUCUGUCUCGACUUGUCUUGUAUUCAUUAAUUCUACAUUCAAAAAGACCUGUCAGUAUUUGCUUUGGGGAUGAAGUCCCCAUUGUGUUUGAGACCAAAUAUUUAGUCCGUUGAUCCCCAUAGCUAACGUAAGCUCUGCUGGAGCCUGUACACGGCCCCAAGUUACUACUCAUUCAUAGCCUAUAUCCUGACAGGAAUACAUCGCUUCUUGUCUUUGUCAUGUCCAUGUAUCUACCAGUCUGUCUUCCCAAGACGUUGACAAUACGCCAUUUCAAUGUCUUGUGCUCACUGGGUUGCUUCUUGUCGCUACCUGGUUCCACUCGGCACCACAGACAAAUAAAAGGGAAAUAGAGAGGGUGAAAUAAUCUUUACUGAAGCACCUUUGGGUGAGUGCUAACGGUCCGGUAUAGUAGAGACCGCUAGCCAAAGCCUCGGCACCUUGUCAACACGUUCUCUAUUUAGUCCCUCAAGACCGGUCUGUGGAGUGGUAUUUGGUGGCAGAAGUGGGAUCCGGGCAUAGAAAUAGAAUCUAUAGAACGGACCUCCCCAUUCAAGUCAAUGAUGUCAUCAUGGGUUAGGCAGGCGUACUCAACUCUUACCCUACGCGUUCCCGAGCCUGCUGCUUUUCUGUUCUACCUAAUAAUUAAUUGCACACACCUGGUGUCCCAGGUCUAAAUCAGUCCCUGGUUUUAGAGGGGAACAAUGGCAACAUUCAGUGGAAACUGUCUUGGCGGUCCAGAGUUGAGUUUGAGGGGGUUAGAGGUUCCAAGCCCGUUCUAUUUCCAUGGAUCCAGGGUUGUUCAUUAGGCACCAAACUGACAAGCGUGGAGGGACUACCCGAAUUUGUCCAAUAGGAAGCUCUAGUUUUUCUUCAUUGUGAAAUGAUUUGCUACGCUGUCUACUAAUGAAUCUGUGUGGGGAUGAAUGGGGGGGAAUCAUUUUUUUGUAGUUUCCUUUAUUUCUGUAUUUUUUAUUAUUCCUUUUCAUUUUGUAUUUUUAUUUGGUGUUCAUUUGUUGUUGCUGUACCCACCAUAACCCCCCGGGCAGGUUCUGGGGGUGGUGCCCAACCAACCAACGUGUAGGGAGGUUAUCCCCCUGGUCAUGUAACACCCUGGGUCCUAGUGACCAGACUGUACAUCUCUUCUCUGCAGAGGGAGGAGAGGGGACGCCAUUCUAUUACUAUAGUAGCCUCCCUCCCAACCGGCCCUCUCUGCAUGGUAGGCUAUAGGUCCAAGUUAACCCCUUUACCACAGCUCUAGAACCAGAUUACCCUAUUACCAAUCCUAAUUCUCAACAUAAUGGGGAUAAAGAAAGAUCUGACCUUAGACCAGUGGUAAGGGACAUGGCCAUUUCUGCUUGCAUUGUGGCCUGUCAACCCUUGUAUGUUUCCUUGCAGUUAAAAUCAGACCUGGGUUCAAGUCUUUUAAAUCUGUAAAAUACUUUGGAGCUCUAGUCCUCCUGGAGAGUCUGAUGGGCCGUGUAUGCCAAUUCUAUUGGGUCCACUAAGCCAGGCGUGCUCAAUCAAUCCCAGAUGAAGUAUUUGAUCCCAGGUCUGGCUCCAAUCUGUGCUUUUCUCUGCAACCGCUGACUGACAGCAAUCUUCUAAACGUCUAUUCCAGAGAUACAUUUACUAGUAUUACCGCUCCUUAUAAGGACCCUGACGCACCAGAGAUCCACACACACACGGCAUGGCUGCUCACUGAUAGUGUCCUGUUUAAUGUGUGUUUACAACUACACAGAUACAGUUUACCUCCUAUGCCGUCAGUCAUAGCCUCAGACCGUUACUAACCUCAUAAGUACCGGGGUCGUGUUCAUUACGCACAGAACGGACUGAAAACGGGGAGGGACUGCAUGAACUUGUCUAAUAAGAGACGCUCAUGUUUUUUUUUCUCUUCCCCCCCGUUGCAAAACGUUUCUCUACGGUGCGCCCUAAUGAAUACGACCCAGGAGACGUUAAGGCUACAGUACAGUUUGUUCAGGUACAGACAGACCAGAACAAUAAAAAUAGCUCAAGCCUCAUUGACAUGGAAUGAAUAGAAUACAGUCAAGGUAUUGGCUGUGGAGAAGUGGGAUGCUUUGUGAAAGUUAUUACCUCAGUUACAUAGAGAGAUAUGACAGCAACCGAGAAUGACUCUUCUCUUUUUGAUUUGGUUUCCUGUCUCUGGUGCCGUCGGUCUUUCCCCGUUGCAGAUCUUUCUUUUCACACUAUAUUAAACUGUACAUUCUUACAAUACAUAGAAGCACUAUUGAAGUGUGUUAGUUGUUCACUCGCAGCAUGAGUUAUGAUUUAAAAAAUAACCCAGACUAAAUCAAAUAUAAAAAGCUUUUUUGGAUAUAAAAUACAACCUAAUGCAGUAGUGUUGUCAGAGAUAUACUACUGAUGAUGCUCCUCCCGACGACCCUAUCCCAUGCCGUGUUCCCCUGAUCCCGACCCAUGUACAUGCCAGUGUUCCAAGUGCCAAUAACUUUGUGAAAUCCUAACUGUGACCCAGUAAUAAAG